GGGGAUGUGGCUCAAGUGGUAGUGCGCUCGCCUGGCAUGCGUGCGGCCUGGGUUCAAUCCUCAGCACCA
rfam:Ictidomys tridecemlineatus contig010139, whole genome shotgun sequence.